UGCUAUUAAUAACUUUUUUUAAUCAACAGGUGGGGCUCUGUUGUCACCGGCAGGUUCUGGCAAUCUUGCAAUGAUCGGUGCCAAGAACUCGGCAGGAGAGGAUACUGUAUGAUGUCUCGUUCGACUUGUCCAUUUUCCAACCAGGCUUAUCAAUGCCAGUGCUACAACUGAAGAUUUACAAGGAGGAAAGAGCUACAACUUCCAAGAAUGUCUUCUCCGUCUGAACCACGAGAUACAGCGAGACAAAUCGAUACAAGCACAUUGAUCUAUAAAGUAUCCACACUCUCCAUGAACCUAUAAAUUCGGAGUCUUCAAAUUUUAUUAAGUAUGCAUGCACAUUUGUUUUUAUAUGUGAUUUCGAAAAUAAAGAUAAAUUUAGGAAGUUUA